CCUGAGCUGAACAGAGGUUUGCCCUGUAUUGAUCGUUACAGUAAUGUUUUCUGAAGAGAUGGAUCAAUAUUCAUCUGUGUCUCAGGCUGCAAGGGUCACAGUGCAGUUUCAUUCUGCAUGUAUCUUGCUAUAUUUAUUUCCAGAAUGUUUCAGUGGAGGAAGAUGUGGGACGUUAUGGAGCCUGUUUCAACAAGUGUAACUUGUUCUGGUAUAAAGUGAACUAGUUCACCAAAAAACAACAAACUUGGCAGCAGAGUCACUGAUAGGUUCUAAUGCCAAACUACUAAUAUGUUUGUCAUGUAGCACAAUCACGCAACGCAAUUUUCCUGGCUUUCCAACAUUUUGAAAUAUCCUUUUAAGUUUUGAUUAAUCUGUAAUAUCUUCUGCAGAAUACAUAGCAAGUACAGCUCCUGUGACUCGGUGGCCAUCCUGUUCGCAAACUGCCAUAUGUUACAGCUUUCUUGGUUAAAUUGCCUCCACCUGAGAUAAAGGAAGAUGGGAGAAUGUUUUAAGGGCUCAAAACGAAAAAAAGGUAUCCUGACUGGUGUUCAUCAUUUCCAACAAAAGGAGCCAGCUUCCAGUCGAGGGUCAGUUUCCAGGGCGUCCGCAGACAACUGUUGAAUGGUUUUUCAAAGAAGUAGCUGAUGAAGAAGGAAAACACACAGGCCGUUCUGGCAGUGUCAGCGGGGCGUAUGAGAUAAAAGAAUGCUCUUUUGGAACACCUGAUGCCAAUAAACCCCUGCCAAGUUGGAAUCAACAGGGAGUCAAUGGCCUUCCCAGUCUGGCUUUGACACACAUCUGCUCACUGGAGGUAGUGUGGACCCAGUACCUCACAACUGCAUUAACCUCCGAUAUCUAAACACCCCCCCCCCCCUACAGCCCACCUGUACUCCUGGCAAAACCCUUUUUUAUACUCCCAAGAACCAACAAUUAAUGAGCAGGUUGUUUUCUCUGUCUUAAGGCUAACCUCCCCUGGCAGCAAAUUAAAGCCAAUUAAGGAAAAUAUUUAGACAGUGUAAAUGACGCUUUUGAUUCACCUUGUUUCCAUGAAGCCAUCUGCAAAUGUUAAUGACUGAGUUUGUUGGGAAUUGAUGGCCCUCUCUCUAUAUCUCAUUUGUAGUUUGGUCUUGGAUCCUCAGGACUUGGCUGUCUCCGCUAAUGAACUUGUGCCCUCGGUGGGAUAGCACACACCUCAAUUUUUAUGCAAUCUAUGAGGGGGGGGGAAUCGCCUUUUCUGCAUAGAAAAUUUCUACCAACCUGGGAGUAAUGAUAAUGAUCACAUAAACGCCACUGAUAAUUUGAAAGGCAGUUUGUCUAACAGCAGUGCUGCUAAAUGUACUUUUCUACAAAGGAAUUACAUCUGACGAGGCUCAGCAUCUGUGGUUUUUGUUCUUUUGAAAUAUAAUUGUUCAAUAUGCAAUUUCUGAGCUGCUGAAUACAUUAUGCAUCAUAAGGACUAUUGUUUUGCCUAAGAUUGGGCUCUGUCAAGCCCUUUACAUUCAAAUUUUAAUAAAAGACCAGUAAGUUUUUCCUUUACCCUUUCUGUGUUUCUGUCCAAGAGGAUUUUCUGUAUGAAAGGGAAAUAACACUGAAGUUAUUUUUUCUGUCCAUGCUAUUGUUCUUUGAGAUUAACAAAGAAGCCUGAGUCAGAAUCAUUAUCUCAUGAAUCCAGCACAACUCUGGUAUAUAUGUGUGUACGCGUAUGAGUGUGUAGGUGUUUUUCAGAGUUUUCUUCAGAGUGGAUUCUUGUUCAUGAGCAACAAUUAUUCUCAUUAAACACAGUCGGGAAAAAGUGAUCUGCAUUUAGGACAAAUUAAAAACUAUUCAUUCUGGCUGUAGAAACAUAAUGAUAUUUUUUAUUCUACUGUAUUCAAUAAACCUGCAAUAUUCAUGGAAAAUCAAGGUGGACCUUUGCUUUUUUCAUUAUUCUGAAAAUCUCCU
rnacentral:lncRNA from 1 species